UGACUCUGGGAUAACAGUUGGAAACAGCUGCUAAUACCGGAUAUGAGCUGCGACCGCAUGGUCGGCAGUUGGAAAGAAUUUCGGUCAGGGAUGAGCUCGCGGCCUAUCAGCUUGUUGGUGAGGUAAUGGCUCACCAAGGCGUCGACGGGUAGCCGGCCUGAGAGGGUGACCGGCCACACUGGGACUGAGACACGGCCCAGACUCCUACGGGAGGCAGCAGUGGGGAAUAUUGCACAAUGGGCGCAAGCCUGAUGCAGCAACGCCGCGUGAGGGACGACGGCCUUCGGGUUGUAAACCUCUUUUAGCAGGGAAGAAGCGAAAGUGACGGUACCUGCAGAAAAAGCACCGGCUAACUACGUGCCAGCAGCCGCGGUAAUACGUAGGGUGCAAGCGUUAUCCGGAAUUAUUGGGCGUAAAGAGCUCGUAGGCGGUUUGUCGCGUCUGCUGUGAAACCCCGAGGCUCAACCUCGGGCCUGCAGUGGGUACGGGCAGACUAGAGUGCGGUAGGGGAGAUUGGAAUUCCUGGUGUAGCGGUGGAAUGCGCAGAUAUCAGGAGGAACACCGAUGGCGAAGGCAGAUCUCUGGGCCGUAACUGACGCU
rnacentral:rRNA from 1 species